UACGAAGGGGGCUAGCGUUGUUCGGAAUUACUGGGCGUAAAGCGCACGUAGGCGGAUUUGUAAGUCAGGGGUGAAAUCCCGGGGCUCAACCUCGGAACUGCCUUUGAUACUGCAAGUCUCGAGUCCGAGAGAGGUGAGUGGAAUUCCUAGUGUAGAGGUGAAAUUCGUAGAUAUUAGGAAGAACACCAGUGGCGAAGGCGGCUCACUGGCUCGGUAAUGACGUUGAGGUGCGAAAGCGUGGGGAGCAAACAGG
rnacentral:rRNA from 1 species